GACGAACGCUGGCGGCGUGCUUAACACAUGCAAGUCGAACGGAAAGGCCCUGCUUUUGUGGGGUGCUCGAGUGGCGAACGGGUGAGUAACACGUGAGUAACCUGCCCUUGACUUUGGGAUAACUUCAGGAAACUGGUGCUAAUACCGGAUAGGAGCUCCUGCUGCAUGGUGGGGGUUGGAAAGUUCCGGCGGUUGGGGAUGGACUCGCGGUUUAUCAGCUUGUUGGUGGGGUAGUGGCUUACCAAGGCUUUGACGGGUAGCCGGCCUGAGAGGGUGACCGGCCACAUUAGGACUGAGAUAGGGACCAGACUCGUACGGGAGGCAGCAGUGGGGAAUAUUGCACAAUGGGCGGAAGCCUGAUGCAGCAACGCCGCGUGCGGGAUGACGGCCUUCGGGUUGUAAACCGCUUUCGCCUGUGACGAAGCGUGAGUGACGGUAAUGGGUAAAGAAGCACCGGCUAACUACGUG
rnacentral:rRNA from 1 species